rnacentral:rRNA from 1 species
CGUUGGUUUGAUAUUUCUGUCGCCGUUUACGGACGUUGCGACCCGUUUGGUGUCAGUCUUAAGGGGCGCGCGUACGUUCGUUGACGCAGUCGACUUGCUCGAUUCGCGUUGCGAGGGCGCGUUCUCCGGCUGACUUGCCAGACGGUAUGAAAUGGUGUCUGCGGCGACGUUCGCGUCGUCGUAGUGCCGGUCUGCAACGAAUCUUCGGGCCUCUUUCCGACCCGUCUUGAAACACGGACCAAGGAGUCUAACGUGCGCGCGAGUCGCGGGGUGUCGAGUAGUGGCAUUGCUGCUGCUCGUUACAAAACGAAACCCGUAUCAUAAAAGGCGCAAUGAAAGUGAAUUCCUUCAUUGGAAUGGGGAAGAUGGCGUUACUGAGUUCACGUUUCGCAACUUGUUGCGACCAGUCGCCCGCAUUCCCAGGGCGUUCCAAUGGCCCGGCGGCGUUGCGGAUCGUCAUUCCUUCGGGUGUGGCGGUCGGGCGUCGUCGAACCGGGGCGCACCUAUAGCGUGCACGUUGGUACCCGAAAGAUGGUGAACUAUGCCUGGCCAGGAUGAAGUCAGGGGAAACCCUGAUGGAGGUCCGCAGCGAUUCUGACGUGCAAAUCGAUCGUCUGAGCUGGG